UCAACCACAUGCCUGAAGGGAAAUGAUUUUUAUUUCUCUAAGAGGAAUGACAGGAUAAGGUAUAGAAUUAUGUCACAGUGUUUACAACAAAGUAUACUGUGAGAAGGACUAACUACCGUGUGAAAUGCUAGAAAAUUCAUAUUCAUCUUUCAAAAUAGUAUAUAUUAAAUCCAAACUUUAUAUGCAUAUCUACAUGAAGCAUCAUGGAAUAUAUAUUUUAUUUAGUUAAACCUAACUUUCAAAAUUAUUUUUCCACCUAAUGUUUUCUAAGUUUCUCUUUUUGAAAUAUUUUUCUCCCACUCAGAUCAUCUCUUAAAGAUGACCUAGUACAUGUACCUUAUAAAAUACAAGAUAUUAUAAACUAGUACUAUAAAUCAAACAUAUUCUAUUUAAUUAUUAUACCAAUCUGAUUACAGAUUAGUCCAUUUAUGCAUCUUAAGAAAUGCAGUAUCUCACAUCUGAUAUUUCCAAACAUGCUCUAUGUUCAUCUUAUAAUUUAUCUGUAUUAUAUGUUCAUAUGAUUUAUCCCAUUAAAGUAAUCCAAAUAGUUGAACCUGAAAAAUAAGAGUAGAGGCACUGCUCUGUCCCUUUUCUUCAGAAAGACUAAGUAUAUUUUCAGUGACAACAUAGUGGAGAUCACAUUAGUUAAAGCUAUUGACUACAGAAAAGAUGAUGUGAGACUCUGAGGCGAUGGGUAACAUCAGACAGAGAAUAAUUAUAUAGUGACAAUCCAGAUAGAGGCUUCAAUCUGUUGGAAAAAAAAUGAGAAGUUGGGAUUAUGACAGAUAGUGGAUUAAGACUUUUCUGUCUUCACACACACAC
rnacentral:lncRNA from 1 species